rnacentral:rRNA from 1 species
AUACGGAGGGUGCAAACGUUAAUCGGAAUUACAGGGCGUAAAGCGUGCGUAGGUGGUUUGUUAAGUUAGAUGUGAAAGCCCCGGGCUCAACCUGGGAACCGCAUUUGAAACUGGCAUACUAGAGUAUAGGAGAGGAAAGUGGAAUUUCAGGUGUAGCGGUGAAAUGCGUAGAUAUCUGAAGGAACAUCAAUGGCGAAGGCAGCUUUCUGGACUAAUACUGACACUGAGGUACGAAAGCGUGGGUAGCAAACAGGAUUAGAAACCCGAGUAGUCC